rnacentral:rRNA from 1 species
UACGGGGGGGGCAAGCGUUGUUCGGAAUUACUGGGCGUAAAGGGCUCGUAGGCGGCCAACUAAGUCGGAUGUGAAAUCCCCAGGCUCAACUUGGGAACUGCAUCCGAUACUGGAUGGCUUGAAUCCGGGAGAGGGAUGCAGAAUUCCAGGUGUAGCGGUGAAAUGCGUAGAUAUCUGGAGGAAUACCGGUGGCGAAGGCGGCAUCCUGGACCGGCAUUGACGCUGAGUGAGCGAAAGCCAGGGGAGCAAACGGG